rnacentral:rRNA from 1 species
AUGAACGCUGGCGGCGUGCCUAAUACAUGCAAGUCGAGCGGAUGAGGGAAGCUUGCUUCCCGAUUUAGCGGCGGACGGGUGAGUAAUGCCUAGGAAUCUGCCUAUUAGUGGGGGAUAACGUUCCGAAAGGAACGCUAAUACCGCAUACGUCCUACGGGAGAAAGUGGGGGAUCUUCGGACCUCACGCUAAUAGAUGAGCCUAGGUCGGAUUAGCUAGUUGGUGAGGUAACGGCUCACCAAGGCGACGAUCCGUAGCUGGUCUGAGAGGAUGAUCAGCCACACUGGAACUGAGACACGGUCCAGACUCCUACGGGAGGCAGCAGUGGGGAAUAUUGGACAAUGGGCGAAAGCCUGAUCCAGCCAUGCCGCGUGUGUGAAGAAGGUCUUCGGAUUGUAAAGCACUUUAAGUUGGGAGGAAGAGUUGUAAGCUAAUAUCUUGCAGCUUUGACGUUACCAACAGAAUAAGCACCGGCUAACUCUGUGCCAGCAGCCGCGGUAA